rnacentral:lncRNA from 1 species
GAAGCUUGAGGAAAAACCAACAGAAAAGAAGAAAAACCUCACCAGACUUGCAUCAGCCUUAAAGUACCUCCCAGAGAUCUUCUUGAGGUGUCCCCAGGCUGGACACCAUGCUUGCCGUGGCCUGCGGGGAUUGGUCAGGAUUUCGUCCCAGCUGGGGUGACCAACUGUUGCUGUCCUUCACCAGUCCUGCCCUAGAAGCAGAGUGAGAAGAGACCCUCGGCCCCAAGGCCAGCACACAGGACCGGAACCCACUCCCUCCAGGAAGGGGUCUGUGUGAGAAGCGUGUGAUGCCCCUCUGAGUCACAAAUUCCUGCUUUCUGAGAAGCCUGGCUUCAACAUGGCCACGGGGGACCUGGAGGUGCUGGACAGGGGUCUGGGCUGCCCCGAGGCCAUGGAGGAGCUGACCAAGUCAGUGGAGAGAUCCAGGAAAGAAUCGCAGGAGGAGGAGGAGGAGGCAAAAGGUGGUGAGAGGGCAGAAAGCAGAGAAGAGACAAGCAGCCAGGUGCAGGUGCAGGGGCCCGCUGAGGAGGAGCAGGCCCCGGAUGGGAUCGGGGAUGGUGCCAGGAAGCCCUCGAGGGUGAAGGCAGAGAAGGAGCACUCAGCCGACAAGGGGGGCUCCGGAAAGGAGAGAGGGAAGACAGCUGCAGCUCCUAAGAGCGUCCCUGCUAGGAAGAAAAUGAAGGCCCACUCCCAGCCCCAGGUGAAGCCACAGCCCCGGACGCUGGGGCCCCCGAGCGACGAGCUGCCUUGGGGAGAGAUCACCCUUAACAAGUGCCUGGCGCUGGCCUCGGUCGUGGCUGUCCUCAGCAUGGCCUUCCAGGUGUUCCAGGAUGUCAUUGAUGGGGAGGAGGAGGGCCCGGAGGCUGCCCCGGCCCUGUGGGCCUGGCCAGGCAGCAGUGCCCCGAGGGACAGCAGAGCCAAGCUGCAGCCCAAGCCCAGAGACUGGGCUAAGGCGUCAGCACCAGCCCCACCUCCAGGGCCCAAGCCCCCUGUGAAGGAGACACCCCGGACUGCCAUGGUCAAGGAGGCCUCACCCAAAGAGCCGGGCGCAGAGGGGCAAGAAGCAGAGGGCAAGGCGAGCCCUGCCCCGGCCCCAGAAGCAGCCGUUCUGCCUGAGAAGCCGCCCUGGGCAGCGCUGCCUAAGAAGGAGGAGAAGGCCAGGAACAAGAAGGGCUUCCGAGAGGACAGGGCCGAGCCCCAGUGGCAGCAAAGGAAGGAGGGCGGCCACGGGCCGCGGCUGCGCCGAGAAGGGAAGGAGGAGGCUCCACGCAGGCCCUGGGAGCGGGAGCAGGAGCACCGGCCCCCCGGCAGGCGGGAGGACUCCAAGAAGGCCCGGGAUGGACCCAGGAGCAAGAGAGAAGAGCAGCGGGGCCGCGGGGGGCGCGAGGGGCGCGAGGACAGGGACAGGUUCUUCCCCAAACAGAAGCACCGGGAAGGGAAGCGGAGGGACUGA